GGAGAGGUCGCAUAGAGGUCUAGUGCGCUCGCUUGGAAAGCGAGUAUACCGCAAGGUAUCGGAGGUUCGAAUCCUCUCCUCUCCG
rnacentral:tRNA from 1 species